AGAGUUUGAUCCUGGCUCAGAGUGAACGCUGGCGGCAUGCCUAACACAUGCAAGUCGAACGGUAACAGGCCCGCAAGGGUGCUGACGAGUGGCGGACGGGUGAGGAAUACAUCGGAAUUUGCCCAGUCGUGGGGGAUAACGUAGGGAAACUUACGCUAAUACCGCAUACGACCUAACGGUGAAAGCGGGGGAUCGCAAGACCUCGCGCGGAUGGAUAAGCCGAUGUCGGAUUAGCUAGUUGGCGGGGUAAAGGCCCACCAAGGCGACGAUCCGUAGCUGGUCUGAGAGGAUGAUCAGCCACACUGGGACUGAGACACGGCCCAGACUCCUACGGGAGGCAGCAGUGGGGAAUAUUGGACAAUGGGGGCAACCCUGAUCCAGCAAUGCCGCGUGUGUGAAGAAGGCCUUCGGGUUGUAAAGCACUUUUAUCAGGAACGAAACACGCAGAUCUAAUACGUCUGCGGACUGACGGUACCUGAGGAAUAAGCACCGGCUAACUUCGUGCCAGCAGCCGCGGUAAUACGAAGGGUGCAAGCGUUACUCGGAAUUACUGGGCGUAAAGGGUGCGUAGGUGGUCGUUUAAGUCCGUUGUGAAAUCCCUGGGCUCAACCUGGGAAUGGCAGUGGAUACUGGACGGCUAGAAUGCGGUAGAGGGUAGUGGAAUUCCCGGUAGCAGUGAAAUGCGUAGAGAUCGGGAGGAACACCAGUGGCGAAGGCGGCUACCUGGACCAGCAUUGACACUCAAGCACGAAAGCGUGGGGAGCAAACAGGAUUAGAUACCCCAGUAGUCC
rnacentral:rRNA from 1 species